rnacentral:rRNA from 1 species
UGCCAGCAGCCGCGGUAAUACGUAAGUCGCAAGCGUUAUCCGGAAUUAUUGGGUUUAAAGGGUACGUAGGCGGAUUUUUAAGUCCGUGGUGAAAGCCUACAGCUUAACUGUAGAACUGCCAUGGAUACUGGAAAUCUUGAAUUCAGUUGAGGUAAGCGGAAUUUAUGAUGUAGCGGUGAAAUGCAUAGAUAUCAUAAAGAACACCUAUUGCGAAGGCAGCUUGCUGGACUUGAAUUGACGCUGAGGUACGAAAGCGUGGGGAGCGACCAGGAUUAGAUA